rnacentral:rRNA from 1 species
CCCAGACUCCUACGGGAGGCAGCAGUGGGGAAUAUUGCACAAUGGGGGGAACCCUGAUGCAGCGACGCCGCGUGGGCGAGGAAGUAUUUCGGUAUGUAAAGCCCUAUCGGCAGGGAAGAAGAAAUGACGGUACCUGAAUAAGAAGCACCGGCUAAAUACGUGCCAGCAGCCGCAGUAAUACGUAUGGUGCAAGCGUUAUCCGGAUUUACUGGGCGUAAAGCGCUCGUAGGCGGUAUGUCAAGUCAAGGGUGAAAUCCCCGCGCUCAACGUGGGAACUGCCUUUGAAACUGGCAAACUGGAGUGUGUGAGAGGAUAGUGGAAUUCCAGGUGUAGGAGUGAAAUCCGUAGAUAUCUGGAGGAACAUCAGUGGCGAAGGCGACUAUCUGGCACAUAACUGACGCUGAGGAGCGAAAGCGUGGGUAGCAAACAGGAUUAGAUACCCUGGUA